GAUUAUGGCUCAGGAUGAACGCUGGCGGCGUGCCUAACACAUGCAAGUCGAACGAAGCAGUCCUCCUCGGAGGACUGACUGAGUGGCGGACGGGUGAGUAACGCGUGGGUAACCUGCCCUGUACAGGGGGAUAACAGUCAGAAAUGACUGCUAAUACCGCAUAAGCGCACGGGAAGACAUCUUCCAGUGUGAAAAACUCCGGUGGUACAGGAUGGGCCCGCGUCUGAUUAGCCUGUUGGCGGGGUAAUGGCCCACCAAGGCGACGAUCAGUAGCCGGUCUGAGAGGAUGAACGGCCACAUUGGAACUGAGACACGGUCCAAACUCCUACGGGAGGCAGCAGUGGGGAAUAUUGCACAAUGGGGGAAACCCUGAUGCAGCAAACCGCCGCGUGAGUGAAGAAGUAUUUCGGUAUGUAAAGCUCUAUCAGCAGGGAAGAUAGUGACGGUACCUGACUAAGAAGCUCCGGCUAAAUACGUGCCAGCAGCUGC
rnacentral:rRNA from 1 species